UUUAUAAGAACUAAAACAUUCUCUGUUAAAGCAGAUAUGAAACAAACAUGGCAAAUCGAGUAUCCAUUCCUCAUGACCAGCAACACAACCAGCAAAUGUGACAAGGCAAUCUCCCGAAUCAAUACUAUCAGCACCGGAGACCACAGAGGUAUUACCUUCAGUUUUAUUUUUCUGUUGAUAUGCAGCAUUCCUCUUCUCCUUAUUCUUUACCUUAUAGCAAUCCUCGAUGAAGUGGUUCGUUUUCUUGCAGUACUUGCAGAUCUUCUUAUCCCUGGACUUUGAACGUCCUCUACCAUGCUGGCUCUUGUCGCGAUUGUUGUUGUCGUAUGACUUCU
rnacentral:lncRNA from 1 species